rnacentral:rRNA from 1 species
GAGGAAUAUUGGUCAAUGGACGCAAGUCUGAACCAGCCACGUCGCGUGAAGGAAGACGGCCCUACGGGUUGUAAACUUCUUUUAUACGGGAAUAAAGUGCCCCACGUGGGGGGUUUUGCAUGUACCGUAUGAAUAAGGAUCGGCUAACGCCGUGCCAGCAGCCGCGGUAAUACGGAGGAUCCGAGCGUUAUCCGGAUUUAUUGGGUUUAAAGGGUGCUCAGGCGGGGGGUUAAGUCGGCGGUGAAAUUUUGCAGCUCAACUGUAAAAGUGCCUUCGAAACUGGUCGUCUUGAGUGCAGUAAAGGUGGGCGGAAUUCGUGGUGUAGCGGUGAAAUGCUUAGAUAUCACGAAGAACUCCAAUUGCGAAGGCAGCUCACUGGAGUGUAACUGACGCUGAUGCUCGAAAGUGUGGGUAUCAAACA